CAGGAGUGCAGCGCCUCUAGUUCCAGGUGCGAGCCAGCGCCUGCAGCCGCUGUAGCGUCGGUACCUUGACGUGGUAGAGCAGCGUGCGCGCCGGGCUGCGCGUGUUGGAGUACCAGGAGUGCAGCGCCUCUAGUUCCAGGUGCGAGCCAGCGCCUGCAGCCGCUGUAGCGUCGGUACCUUGCAGGUGCGAGCCAGCGCCUGCAGCCGCUGUAGCGUCGGUACCUUGACGUGGUAGAGCAGCGUGCGCGCCGGGCUGCGCGUGUUGGAGUACCAGGAGUGCAGCGCCUCUAGUUCCAGGUGCGAGCCAGCGCCUGCAGCCGCUGUAGCGUCGGUACCUUGACGUGGUAGAGCAGCGUGCGCGCCGGGCUGCGCGUGUUGGAGUACCAGGAGUGCAGCGCCUCUAGUUCCAGGUGCGAGCCAGCGCCUGCAGCCGCUGUAGCGUCGGUACCUUGCAGGUGCGAGCCAGCGCCUGCAGCCGCUGUAGCGUCGGUACCUUGACGUGGUAGAGCAGCGUGCGCGCCGGGCUGCGCGUGUUGGAGUACCAGGAGUGCAGCGCCUCUAGUUCCAGGUGCGAGCCAGCGCCUGCAGCCGCUGUAGCGUCGGUACCUUGACGUGGUAGAGCAGCGUGCGCGCCGGGCUGCGCGUGUUGGAGUACCAGGAGUGCAGCGCCUCUAGUUCCAGGUGCGAGCCAGCGCCUGCAGCCGCUGUAGCGUCGGUACCUUGACGUGGUAGAGCAGCGUGCGCGCCGGGCUGCGCGUGUUGGAGUACCAG